rnacentral:lncRNA from 13 species
CUUGAGAGCAUUGCUUUUUUUUUUUUUUUAACACACCAUGGCCUUCUCAUUAUAGCUACCUUAAAAUUGACCUACCACAGGCAUCACAGACUCAUCUAAAUGACUGGUCUGACCCCAGAAAGCAGUCCUUAAUCAGUGAAAGUGGAUCCCUGGAGAAGGUAUAAAUCAGCCCCACAGAUAAAUGCAGCACAGAGGCGUGGGAACACAGAGAAAGCAGACUGUGAGCGUGUCGGCAUCAGAGUGAACAUGGACCAGAUUUACUCCCCUUGUACUUCCUUGUAAGGGUAUAGCUGACCUUAGGAAUGGCUGUGAAAUUUAGUUUAGUUCAGUACAGCAGACAUUUAUUGAGCACUAUUAUCUGCUGGGAUCUGGCGGUAAUAGUAUAAGAAUAGAUGAAGAUAAUUAGCACUUUCAACUUGCUGGACAAGACCAAGAACAUCGAGUGUGUCUUCUCAUUUCAUCCUUACAACAACCCUGGUCAAUGUAUUAGUUUCCAAGGGCUGCUGUAACUCAGUACCACAAACGGAGUGGCUUAAACCACAGAAAUUUUCUGUUGCACAGUUCUGGAGAUGAG